rnacentral:rRNA from 1 species
AUUGAACGCUGGCGGCAGGCCUAACACAUGCAAGUCGAGCGGAUGAAGGGAGCUUGCUCCUGGAUUCAGCGGCGGACGGGUGAGUAAUGCCUAGGAAUCUGCCUGGUAGUGGGGGAUAACGUCCGGAAACGGGCGCUAAUACCGCAUACGUCCUGAGGGAGAAAGUGGGGGAUCUUCGGACCUCACGCUAUCAGAUGAGCCUAGGUCGGAUUAGCUAGUUGGUGGGUUAAAGGCCUACCAAGGCGACGAUCCGCAACUGGUCUGAGAGGAUGAUCAGUCACACUGGAACUGAGACACGGUCCAGACUCCUAAGGGAGGCAGCAGUGGGGAAUAUUGGACAAAGGGCGAAAGCCUGAUCCAGCCAUGCCGCGUGUGUGAAGAAGGUCUUCGGAUUGUAAAGCACUUUAAGUUGGGAGGAAGGGCAGUAAGUUAAUACCUUGCUGUUUUGACGUUACCAACAGAAUAAGCACCGGCUAACUUCGUG